CAGCCGCCGCGGGAAUACGAAGGGUGCAAGCGUUACUCGGAAUUACUGGGCGUAAAGCGCACGUAGGCGGCUUUGUAAGUUAGAGGUGAAAGCCUGGAGCUCAACUCCAGAAUUGCCUUUAAGACUGCAUCGCUUGAAUCCGAGAGAGGUGAGUGGAAUUCCGAGUGUAGAGGUGAAAUUCGUAGAUAUUCGGAAGAACACCAGUGGCGAAGGCGGCUCACUGGCUCAUACUGGACGCUGAGGUGCGAAAGCGUGGGGAGCAAACAGGAUUAGAUACCCCCGUAGUCCCUGUCUCUUAUAC
rnacentral:rRNA from 1 species